UUAAAUUGAAGAGUUUGAUCAUGGCUCAGAUUGAACGCUGGCGGCAGGCCUAACACAUGCAAGUCGAACGGUAACAGGAAGCAGCUUGCUGCUUCGCUGACGAGUGGCGGACGGGUGAGUAAUGUCUGGGAAACUGCCUGAUGGAGGGGGAUAACUACUGGAAACGGUGGCUAAUACCGCAUAACGUCGCAAGACCAAAGAGGGGGACCUUCGGGCCUCUUGCCAUCAGAUGUGCCCAGAUGGGAUUAGCUAGUUGGUGAGGUAACGGCUCACCAAGGCGACGAUCCCUAGCUGGUCUGAGAGGAUGACCAGCCACACUGGAACUGAGACACGGUCCAGACUCCUACGGGAGGCAGCAGUGGGGAAUAUUGCACAAUGGGCGCAAGCCUGAUGCAGCCAUGCCGCGUGUAUGAAGAAGGCCUUCGGGUUGUAAAGUACUUUCAGCGGGGAGGAAGGUGUUGUGGUUAAUAACCGCAGCAAUUGACGUUACCCGCAGAAGAAGCACCGGCUAACUCCGUGCCAGCAGCCGCGGUAAUACGGAGGGUGCAAGCGUUAAUCGGAAUUACUGGGCGUAAAGCGCACGCAGGCGGUCUGUCAAGUCGGAUGUGAAAUCCCCGGGCUCAACCUGGGAACUGCAUUCGAAACUGGCAGGCUUGAGUCUUGUAGAGGGGGGUAGAAUUCCAGGUGUAGCGGUGAAAUGCGUAGAGAUCUGGAGGAAUACCGGUGGCGAAGGCGGCCCCCUGGACAAAGACUGACGCUCAGGUGCGAAAGCGUGGGGAGCAAACAGGAUUAGAUACCCUGGUAGUCCACGCCGUAAACGAUGUCUACUUGGAGGUUGUGCCCUUGAGGCGUGGCUUCCGGAGCUAACGCGUUAAGUAGACCGCCUGGGGAGUACGGCCGCAAGGUUAAAACUCAAAUGAAUUGACGGGGGCCCGCACAAGCGGUGGAGCAUGUGGUUUAAUUCGAUGCAACGCGAAGAACCUUACCUGGUCUUGACAUCCACGGAAGUUUUCAGAGAUGAGAAUGUGCCUUCGGGAACCGUGAGACAGGUGCUGCAUGGCUGUCGUCAGCUCGUGUUGUGAAAUGUUGGGUUAAGUCCCGCAACGAGCGCAACCCUUAUCCUUUGUUGCCAGCGAUUAGGUCGGGAACUCAAAGGAGACUGCCAGUGAUAAACUGGAGGAAGGUGGGGAUGACGUCAAGUCAUCAUGGCCCUUACGACCAGGGCUACACACGUGCUACAAUGGCGCAUACAAAGAGAAGCGACCUCGCGAGAGCAAGCGGACCUCAUAAAGUGCGUCGUAGUCCGGAUUGGAGUCUGCAACUCGACUCCAUGAAGUCGGAAUCGCUAGUAAUCGUGGAUCAGAAUGCCACGGUGAAUACGUUCCCGGGCCUUGUACACACCGCCCGUCACACCAUGGGAGUGGGUUGCAAAAGAAGUAGGUAGCUUAACCUUCGGGAGGGCGCUUACCACUUUGUGAUUCAUGACUGGGGUGAAGUCGUAACAAGGUAACCGUAGGGGAACCUGCGGUUGGAUCACCUCCUUACCUUAAAGAAGC
rnacentral:rRNA from 2 species